AGCAGUCGCCGCGGGAAUACGAAGGGGGCUAGCGUUGUUCGGAUUUACUGGGCGUAAAGGGUGCGUAGGCGGAUUGUUAAGUCAGGGGUGAAAUGCCGAGGCUCAACCUCGGAACUGCCUUUGAUACUGGCGAUCUUGAGUCCGGGAGAGGCGAGUGGAACUGCGAGUGUAGAGGUGAAAUUCGUAGAUAUUCGCAAGAACACCAGUGGCGAAGGCGGCUCACUGGCCCGGAACUGACGCUGAGGCACGACAGCGUGGGGAGCAAACAGGAUUAGAUACCCCAGUAGUCCCUGUCUCUUAUAC
rnacentral:rRNA from 1 species